rfam:Clostridium chauvoei JF4335, WGS project CBML01000000 data, contig: 00002
AACAAUUGCUAGGGGUGCCAUUGGCUGAGAGAUGUUUUUAACAUUAACCCUUUACCUGAUCUGGAUAAUACCAGCGUAGGGAAGCUUAUGUAUGAUAUC